AUAUUGUUUCAUCCUGCUACCUGUUUGCAUGUUUUUGUUCGUUUAUCAAAUAUACGCAUGUACUUUGCUUAUCAAUAUCAUGUCCACGUGUUUGUGAAUGGAGGAUAAAGAUACUGUAAUAAUGUUUCAAAGAUGAAUAUCGUUAAACACGUUGAUUAAAUAUUAACAUAUUUUUAAAUCACAUUUAUGAGAGUUAGGCGAAGAUUUUGUGAUGGAUUUUAUAUUUGCUACUGUACAAUAGGGGAGGUUACUGCGUAGGAGACGAACAUUUUCUUAAACCGGUUUAGCAUCAAAUCAAGUAGGACCUACUCCGGUGACCUCAGACGAACAUUCGUGUAAAAAAUGGAUUGAAAUGGACAAUCAUAAACUUUUGGGCUAUGGACUUAUUGAAGACAACUGUAUGGAGAUAAACAGAAACACAGAGGUGCUAUACUUUCUGAUGGAAAAGACAACAAAAGCAUCUCCCAUCAUUUUGGCGUGGCUCAGAUCAAGAGGAGAAAUUUAAAAAAGGUGAUGGUUGGGCACAAACAAGAAGACAUAGAUCACAGGCGUAUAGCAUAUGAGUAGACAGGAGUUUCACACUCUGCCAGACUUACUUCCUCAGACGAGCAGAUUUAGGCUUCUCAAGAUCACGCACUGCACACUAAGACAUAGUCUUUGACUACAACAAGGCCUUAGGGGAUGAAAGUACAGAGACCUGUCCAAUUGAAAUCAAUUCUGUGCUGCGUCAUUUCUUUAUUCUAGAGGUUGAUGGACAUGAUUUAUGGCAUCAAGUGUGCAGUUUGUCAACUAACUAUCAACACAGCAGUCUUGUUCACCAGCUGUGCAACUUGAGCUUUUAGCUUUAUUGCUUGAAGCCACUGUAUAAGAGGAGGGAAGGUGCAGACUCAUCAAAAAGUCUCAAAGUUGAAACUAGGAAAAGAAGUUUGUCAAGAGUGUGAAUAUUUGCUUUGAAAACAAUUGUGACAAUGAUUUGGUUUCCUUUGAAACUUGAUACAUACUAUGUGUAUGUUGAAUGAAUUGAGAUGCUUAAAUAAAGAACCACUAUUCAAAUAUCAGGAAACUGCAUUUUUCAUACUAAAUUGGUAAAUGAUGUCACCAUUUCCUGUAUGUAUUUAGAUAAGAUAUGUUUCCACAAUUAAUAUUUUUAGGGACUAUUUCUCAACGUAAUGAAAUAGAUUAAGCGUUAUAUGAGCUUAAUAUGUGUUUUCUGUUUCCUUAAAAUUGAUGAAAAAUUGUCAGAAGGUAAUGAGACCAGUAUCCAUUACUGCAAUCAUACAAUAAAAAAUACAGGGACAAGCCCACUGCUCAUAUAAUAUGAUUAAACCUUGUUUAGGGGCAUGAGGCAAACAGAGUUACUUUCAAAUGUUAAAGAUGCACUCUCACACUUUGGAUGUUUUGACAACUGUUUUCAUUUUUAUACCCCCCAAAACAAAGUUUGGGGGGGGGUAUACUGGAAUCGGGUUGUCCGUCUGUCUGUCUGUCUGUCCGUCUGUCCGUCCGUUUUUUUUUUGUCCGGGAUUCAUCUUUGUCGCUAUUGAACAAAUCUUUUUCAAACUUUCAAAUAUUAAUGACCAUGAUGUAAACCUGUGCCUCCGUGGAUUUGGUCAGAGUCGCAUGAUCCUGAGUGGAGUUGUGGCCCCUUAAUGAGUUAAAUUGGGCAAAAUUAGCUUUGUCCAGGAUUCUUCUUUGAAGCUAUUGAGCAAAUCUUUUUCAAACUUUCAAAUAUUAAUGGCCAUGAUGUAAACUUUUGCCUCCAUGAAUUUGGUGGGAGUCACAUGAUCCUGAGUGGAGUUGUGGCCCCUUAAUGAGUUAAAUUGGGUAAAAUUAGUUUUGUUCGUCCUACUCCUUCGUCAUUUUUGAAUGAAUCUUUUUCAAACUUUUAGCCAUGGUGAGAACAUUUGCCCCUGUGAUUGUGGUUGGAAUCACAUGAUCAUGUCUCCAAUUAUGGCCCCUGAAUAAGUUAAAAUAGGCAAAAAUUAUACAGCUUUGUCUAGCCUAAUCCUUGGUCAUUUUUUCUCAUUUUUUCUACAAAUCUUUUUCAAACUUUCAGAUGUCAAUGACCAUGAUAUGAACUGUUGAAUAUGUGAUUUGGUGCACCUGUAUUAAUCAGAAUGUUUGCAUGCCUUAAAAAGACCUUUAAUUGAUUUUGUCCUUAAAAAGACCAUCAAAAGUCCUGAAGUUAGGUGCAUACAGGCCUUAAAUUUGUUACAAUAUUCGCUUUGGUGGCCUACUCCUUUGUACUGCAACAGGCUCCUGGAGGGGAUAAGUGUGGACACAGUACCAACAUACUAUAGUGACCAUUUUGUGAUCUCAGCUGCAGUGCCAUGGCAGUCCCUGAUUCAGUAAUAGGUAUUCUAAAUAAACUAAAUAAAUGUAUUGCCUUGUGCUUUCUUAUGAUACCAUAACUAAGGCCAGGGCAAACAACCUAGACAGGGAAGGAUUGGGGGGUAUUCGUUAGCCUUUGGCUUACAGUUCUAGUUAGCUCUACUGGCCAAAGGCCCAUGUAUGCCUAGUUUAUGGGCCUUGAUAGUAUACAAAAAUCAGUGUGUCAGUAGGCAAUUGCUCGUUAACAUGAUACAGCCUUUUUGAUUGUAUCUCAAUGAAACUUGUACAGUAUCUACAUAUCCAUAUGAGCUCGGUUCCUUUCGAAAACCAGCCAGAUCCGCCCAUGCAUGCCAAGAUUAUGGGCCUUGAUAAUAAAAAAAAAUAGUGUGUCAGUAAACAAUUGCUAUGUAACACGAUACAGUCUUCAGUUUUGAUUGUAUCUUGAUGAAACUUGUCCAGUAUAUCCAUUAGAGCUCAGUUCCUUUCAAAAACCUGAUCUGCCCAUGUUUCCUGGAUUAUUGGCCUUGAAAUUAUUAGAUGAUGGGCCUUGAUAGUAUAAAAAAUGCUAUUUUGUAAUAAAUGCUUGCGAAUAUGAUACAGUCUUCAGUUUUGAGUAUUCAGAUACCCAUAAGGGGUUGGUUCUUUUCGAAAACAGUGAUGUUGACCACACAAACCCAGCCAGUAGAGCAUAGGCCCUUUUGGGCCUCUUGUUUGUUUUGGAUUGGUACCAUCCAGUCUUUGCGAAAAAUGCAUGGAAACCAGUAAUAUAAGACUACUGACAAAAAAUUCAAUUGCAGACUUUUUUAUUUAAGUUAAAACAUUGAUGUUUUAUGCACUUUUCUUAAACCGUUAGUAACAUUAAUCUUCGAAGGAAAUAUGAAAUCUGGGAUUUGAUGUUUUGUCAGCAAUCUUUUACCAUUGGUUUGCUGAUAUUUACGCAAAAAUUUGCUCAUUCCAAGACAAAACAAAAGUUGUUAAAACGGUAUAUCUGUGAGAAUGCAGCUCUAAAUGUUUUGGCAAACAUGUUUUUGAUUUGGCAGCACAAUCAAUCUUGAACAUUGCUUGAUUUUACUGCUGUAUUAGAAAUUACAGGGGUAAUGGGGGAUUUUUUUUAGUGUUUUUAUUGCUUUUUGUGAUUCAUACAGUCAUACUUCAUUCCCCAGGGCACAACUUACAAAUAGACAGAACAGGAAAAUGGUCAUUCUAAAAGGUCAAGGACAAUGCAAGUUGAACAAUCAUAUUGUUCAUGGCUUGUAUUUUUGGUAUAUUUUGUUGCAUAUAUGCUAUAAAAAAGUUGAAAGUUAAAAAUAACUUCAUAGUUGAAAUGAUGGCUUUGAAUGGUUUUGUCAGUUGAGAAACAGCACUAUUAAGAAAUAUGUUAAUGGUACUUUAUUAUUUUAAUCAAUUUUAGAUAUUUGUAUGAAAAUUAUUAUCUUAUUUUGUACAUGAGACCUUUUAAACAGUUAUUUAUAAUUUAACAAUGUGUAAAUGAUCAAAACUUAAAGCUGCACUUUCACAGAUUGUCAUUUUAGACACUUUAAAAUUUUUGUCUCAAAAGCUGAUUUGGUUAUCAUUCCUUUAAUUCAGUCAUAUUAGAUAAUUCACAAUAGAACCAAUCAAAAAUGUUUGGUAAGACUGCCGAAAAGUUCAUUUACAUUAAAUUGUUCGUAAUGCUACUAUACCCAUAAAACAUCAUUUUAGCCAUAAAUAUGACAAAAUGCAAUCUGAUCUUAUUUCAGAAGUCUUAUAUCAUUUAAAAUUGGGUCUAUGCAAAAAAUGGUCUAUUUAUAGACCAACAAUAAAAGAGUGCCGGUAGUCAAAACGAUCAAUUAGUGAGAUUGCAGCUUUAAAUACACCUUUUUAAGUCCGCUGUAAAAUUCCAAUGGUUUGCCUCAAUCUUUAAAGCUAGCAUACUGUUUAAUUGACAGCCAUACUUUUUGUUUAAAAGUAUCAUGAUAUGUUUGUACAAUGUGUUUAUAUAAUUCA